rnacentral:rRNA from 1 species
GACAGAGGCCUCAAGCGUUAGGCGGAAUCACUGGGCUUAAAGCGUGUGUAGGCGGACUUCUAAGUGCCUUGUGAAAUCCCACGGCUCAACCGUGGAACUGCUGGGCAUACUGGGGAGUCUUGGGCCAUUCAGGGGCAACUGGAACAAGCGGUGGAGCGGUGAAAUGCGUAGAUAUCUGGAGGAACACCGGUGGCGAAGGCGGCAUCCUGGACCGGCAUUGACGCUGAGGCGCGAAAGCUAGGGGAGCAAACGGG